AACCCCGGGGAUCCAUUAAGACACUGCAUUGCUUCUGGUAGAUUGGAAAGCCAGCCUCCGCCCCUGGCAUCCAUCACCCUGGAAGCGACUCGUGAUCGCUCUUUCCUCGGGUGUUUGCCGGUUAUGUGAGUGUGCAUAUUCCGCUGUCCAUCACCAGACUGGGUAAAACCCAAUCUCCAGGGAGAUGAGCUCUAAAGUGGAGAACCCAUGGUGCAAGAAAACUAACAGAAAGAAAUCCUCUAUUGCUCUCAUCCCUGGAACGUGCUGUAUUAUGAAAUACAGGAUUGACACAGAAGAUGAUCUGGUGAAACAGCUCAGAGGGCAAGGACACUUGCCAAACGAGAUGACUGGAGUUCAAUCUUGGAACCCACCUGAUGGAAGAGAGCCAACUCCCAAAAGUCGGCCUCUGAUCUUCACCUACAC